rnacentral:rRNA from 1 species
CCUACGGGUGGCAGCAGUGGGGAAUAUUGGACAAUGGGCGAAAGCCUGAUCCAGCCAUGCCGCGUGUGUGAAGAAGGCCUUCGGGUUGUAAAGCACUUUCAGUGGGGAAGAAAGCCUUGGGGCUAAUACCCUCGAGGAAGGACAUCACCCACAGAAGAAGCACCGGCUAACUCCGUGCCAGCAGCCGCGGUAAUACGGAGGGUGCGAGCGUUAAUCGGAAUUACUGGGCGUAAAGCGCGCGUAGGCGGUCUGAUAAGCCGGUUGUGAAAGCCCCGGGCUCAACCUGGGAACGGCAUCCGGAACUGUCAGGCUAGAGUGCAGGAGAGGAAGGUAGAAUUCCCGGUGUAGCGGUGAAAUGCGUAGAGAUCGGGAGGAAUACCAGUGGCGAAGGCGGCCUUCUGGACUGACACUGACGCUGAGGUGCGAAAGCGUGGGUAGCAAACAGGACUAGAUACCCGGGUAGUC